rnacentral:rRNA from 1 species
GGCGAACGUUAGCGGCGGGCCUAACACAUGCAAGUCGAGCGAGAAAGGGGCUUCGGCCCUGAGUAAAGCGGCGGACGGGUGAGUAACACGUAGGUAAUCUUCCCUUGAGCGGGGGACAACGAGGCGAAAGCCUCGCUAAUACCGCAUAAGUUUGUUUGGUCUCCGGACUGAACAAGGAAAGCUAGGCCGCAAGGUCCGGCACUCGAGGAGGAGCCUGCGUCGCAUCAGCUAGUUGGUGGGGUAACGGCCUACCAAGGCGAAGACGCGUAGCUGGUCUGAGAGGAUGAUCAGCCACACUGGGGACUGAGACACGGCCCCAGACUCCUACGGGAGGCAGCAGUGGGGAAUAUUGGACAAUGGGCGCAAGCCUGAUCCAGCCACGCCGCGUGAGUGAUGAAGGCCUUCGGGUCGUAAAGCUCUGUGGGGAGGGACGAACCGGCCGGAUGUGCAUAGCAUCCGGCAUGACGGUACCUCCUUAGCAAGCACCGGCUAACUUCGUGCCAGCAGCCGCGGUAAUACGAAGGGUGCAAACGUUGCUCGG